rnacentral:rRNA from 1 species
UACGAAGGGGGCUAGCGUUGCUCGGAAUCACUGGGCGUAAAGCGCACGUAGGCGGAUUCUUAAGUCGGUGGUGAAAUCCUGGAGCUCAACUCCAGAACUGCCUUCGAUACUGGGAGUCUUGAGUCCGGGAGAGGUGAGUGGAACUGCGAGUGUAGAGGUGAAAUUCGUAGAUAUUCGCAAGAACACCAGUGGCGAAGGCGGCUCACUGGCCCGGUACUGACGCUGAGGUGCGAAAGCGUGGGGAGCAAACAGGG